ACUCGGGUUGCACUGGACGAGGCUGCUGUGAUCUGACCCAUGGGUAUCAGCUGUAGUGUUUGGGGUCGUUAAGUCUUAAGACUCAAGUCAGAGUUCCGUGACAGAUACACCAUUUGUGCGUGUAGGUGGACUAUGUACAGCGGCACUAAAGAAAGUACUCCGUAGGAUUGUAGUUCCUGACUAGAGAAGAGAGGAGCGGGACCUGGUUUUGAAGCGCCCGCCGCUCUGUGGGUCCACAGACUAGCUAGUGGAAAGCGCAAAUCUCAGGUUGAACAAGGAGGAAACCAGCUGGAAUCACAGAGGAGACCCCUGAAUGACCUUAGGGAUCUGGACUUCCGGGCUGGUGACUGGCCUCCACCUUUGACGUCUCCGUGGCGUCUACUAGAGACGACAUUCGAGGCGGCUGCGGGCGUGAGACUGUCUCCCACUUUUCCCCCGUUUGUGGCUGCUGUUGGUAAGCCGUUCCCUCACCUUGUUUUCUCACAUAUCCUCACUUCUGUGUCCAACCCACAGUAGUCGCUCCCAAUGCACUUCCUGGAAAGAGAAAAAUGAGGAGCCUAAAGGAGGUUCAGCUGGUGAAGGUGCUUGGUGUCCAAGCUUGAACGCCCGAGUUUGAUCCCUGGAUCCCAUGUAA
ensembl:processed_transcript Gm35025 predicted gene, 35025